rnacentral:rRNA from 1 species
AGAUCGUUCAUACUACAUGGAUAACUGUGGUAAUUCUAGAGCUAAUACAUGCAAAAAGCUCCGACCGUAUGGGAAGAGCGCUUUUAUUAGACCAAAACCAAUGGGGUCGCAAGAUCCCUUUGUAUGGUGACUCUGGAUAACUUUGUGCUGAUCGCAUGGCCUAGAGCCGGCGACGUAUCUUUCAAGUGUCUGCCCUAUCAACUUUCGAUGGUAAGCGAUUUGCCUACCAUGGUUGUAACGGGUAACGGGGAAUCAGGGUUCGAUUCCGGAGAGGGAGCAUGAGAAACGGCUACCACAUCUACGGAAGGCAGCAGGCGCGCAAAUUACCCACUCCUAGAACUGGGAGGUAGUGACGAAAAAUAACAAUACCGGACUCAAUGAGGCUCGGUAAUUGAAAUGAGUACAGUUUAAAACCCUUAACGAGGAUCUAUUGGAGGGCAAGUCUGGUGCCAGCAGCCGCGGUAAUUCCAGCUCCAAUAGCGUAUAUUAAAGUUGUUGCAGUUAAAAAGCUCGUAGUUGGAUCUCGGGUACUAGCAUGUGGUACGCUUUUUUGCUGUUACUACAUGUCUGGUCCUAAUCAACCGGUUGGCCGUUGAUGUCCUUUAUUGGGUGUUUUCGGUAGCCGGUACGUUUACUUUGAGAAAAUUAGAGUGCUUAAAGCAGGCCUUAAGCCUGAAUAAUGUUGCAUGGAAUAAUAGAAUAGGACCUCGGUUCUAUUUUGUUGGUUUUGUAGAGCAUUGAGGUAAUGAUUAAUAGGGACAGACGGGGGCAUUCGUAUUGCGGUGUUAGAGGUGAAAUUCUUGGAUCGCCGCAAGACGAACAACUGCGAAAGCAUUUGCCAAGAAUGUUUUCAUUAAUCAAGAACGAAAGUUGGAGGUUCGAAGACGAUUAGAUACCGUCCUAGUUCCAACCAUAAACGAUGCCAACUAGCGAUUAGCUGCUGUUAUUUUUAUGACACAGCUAGCAGCUUCCGGGAAACCAAAGUUUUUGGGUUCCGGGGGAAGUAUGGUUGCAAAGCUGAAACUUAAAGGAAUUGACGGAAGGGCACCACCAGGAGUGGAGCCUGCGGCUUAAUUUGACCCAACACGGGAAGUCUCACCCGGCCCGGACACUGUAAGGAUUGACAGAUUGAGAGCUCUUUCUUGAUUCGGUGGGUGGUGGUGCAUGGCCGUUCUUAGUUGGUGGAGCGAUUUGUCUGGUUAAUUCCGAUAACGAACGAGACUCUAGCCUGCUAAAUAGUACGUCGAUCUUUAGUCGGCGCGUACUUCUUAGAGGGACAAGUAGCGGUAAGCUC